GAUCUUCCCUUCCCCUCCUGGAGAGUCCUCCGGGAGUCCCUGCUCUCCUCUCUGUCUCUCCCCUCCCCCAUCACCCGAGGCCCAGCCACGUGCUGUGUCUGGCAGCUCGAGGCAGGGUCACAAAUGUAUCUUGAAUAAACCUCUUCCCCCAAGAGCACCACAGAGAUCUCGAUUGAAUCUGUCCGUGGAAUACAAAUACACGUCGUUACAGACUGGCGCCCACCUCGAAUACGAACCCACGGUGACCUGCAACUGCACCCGUCUGGAUGCUUUCCAGCUUUUCUACCUGUAGGACACCUUUCCAUGGACACUAACUAUAUAACCAGGUAUUUCCUCGCCAUCGUGGUCGCGAGCACGGCAUUCUGCUGCUAGGCAGUAACGAACCGGAGCUCUUUAAAAAGUCCCGAAGCCGUCGUACAGCUCAGCGACUCGUUACAUAGUAGCGAGCUAUUAGAGCCCUUAUACGACUUCUGGCCAUUAUUCUCCGAGCACAAGAGAUCGCCGCGAUUCCGCGGCGACCCAAGGCUUUGUGACGAGACUUGCCGCGCCACGUGGCCACGUACACAAAGCACAGGCGAGCACUGCUUAGCACUGCCCGCGCUGAAGCUCUGGAGAAACCCCGCGGUGACCUCAGCACCGACUGCAGUAAACGUCGGAACCUGACAGAGGAUCCCGCUCCUGCGACACCGAGGUUUUUCUUGUGUUUCCACAGGUGGACGACUUAAGUGGGUCCCAGGAAAGAACGUGAAGCCUUACCAAUGCUCCGAAAUCUGCUGACACCCCCACACCAGACAGUUCCUCUACAAGCACAAGCCAAGAAGCAAGAACCCAGACCUGAACCACGCUGCGUCAUCGAGAGAAAAAUGGACUUUCUAUCGUUUAAUGCGUGCAUAUUGUUUUUGUUCUUCUGUUUCAGUUUUUAUAUUGAAGUUUUACUUAUAAUUCAACCAAA